rnacentral:misc_RNA from 1 species
GAAAUGCGAUAAGUAAUGUGAAUUGCAGAAUUCAGUGAAUCAUCGAAUAUUUGAACGCACAUUGCGCCCGCCAGUAUUCUGGCGGGCAUGCCUGUCCGAGCGUCAUUUCAACCAUCAAGCCCCCGGGCUUGUGUUGGGGACCUGCGGCUGCCCGCAGGCCCUGAAAACCAGUGGCGGGCUCGCUGUCACACCGAGCGUAGUAGCAAUCACCUCGCUCAGGGCGUGCUGCGGGUUCCGGCCGUUAAACAGCCUUACAAAACCCAAGGUUGACCUCGGAUCAGGUAGGAAGACCCGCUGAACUUAAGC